CGGGGAUCGGCGGGAGCUCCUGGGCGCCGGGGCAGGAAGACGCCGGUUCCCGCGCUCUCGCGUUUCGCGCCGGCGCCGGCGAGGAAUAUGGCGCGCAUCCCCGACCCCUGCGGCGGCGGAGGCGGCGGCGGCGCCGCGGGAGGCGGCGGCGGAGGCUUCUGGAGCGGCGGCCACGCCGAGGGGGAUAACCCUAGCGGAGGACUAGAACGCUCCUCCCCGUACCCUCCGCCGCAGGACCGCACCCUGCUAUUAUGCGACCUCCCCCACGCCGCCGCAGAAGCCGCAUA
rnacentral:lncRNA from 1 species